rnacentral:rRNA from 1 species
UACGAAGGGGGCUAGCGUUGUUCGGAAUUACUGGGCGUAAAGCGUAUGCAGGCGGACUUUUAAGUCGGGGGGUGAAAUCCCGAGGCUCAACCUCGGAACUGCCUUCGAUACUGGAAGUCUUGAGUCCGGGAGAGGUGAGUGGAACUCCGAGUGUAGAGGUGAAAUUCGUAGAUAUUCGGAAGAACACCAGUGGCGAAGGCGGCUCACUGGCCCGGUACUGACGCUGAGAUACGAAAAGCGUGGGGGAGCAAACAGG